UGGGUAGUCCGCACGAGCGCACCUCGUCCUUAGUUGCCAUCAUUUAGUUGGGCACUUUAAGGAAACUGCCGGUGAUAAGCCGGAGGAAGGUGGGGAUGACGUCAAGUCCUCAUGGCCCUUACAGGCUGGGCUACACACGUGCCACAAUGGCAUCUACAGUGAGCAGCGAUCCCGCGAGGGUUAGCUAAUCUCCAAAAGAUGUCUCAGUUCGGAUUGUUCUCUGCAACUCGAGAGCAUGAAGGCGGAAUCGCUAGUAAUCGCGGAUCAGCAUGCCGCGGUGAAUACGUUCCCAGGCCUUGUACACACCGCCCGUCACACCAUGGGAGUUGGAUUCACCCGAAGGCGGUGCGCUAACCUUUUAGGAGGCAGCCGACCACGGUGGGUUCAGCGACUGGGGUGAAGUCGUAACAAGGUAGCCGUAGGGGAACCUGCGGCUGGAUCACCUCCUUUCU
rnacentral:rRNA from 1 species